rfam:Burkholderia sp. SRS-W-2-2016 contig1, whole genome shotgun sequence.
ACGUCUCUCAGGUUCUGGCCAACAUCCUCGGACGCCAGAAUCUUUAGGCCGGCACUUCGUGCCGGCCUUUUUUUU